rnacentral:rRNA from 1 species
AGAAGGCCCGAGCGUUAAUCAGAAUUACUGGGCUUAAAGCGUGCGCAGGCGGUCCAGAAAGUAUCUCGUGAAAUCCCUCGGCUCAACCGGGGAACUGCGGGGUAAACUUCUGGACUUGAGAAAGGUAGGGGCUGAUGGAACCAUGAGUGGAGCGGUGAAAUGCGUAGAUAUUCAUGGGAACGCCGAUGGGGAAGCCGAUCAGCUGGGCCUUUUCUGACGCUCAUGUACGAAAGCGUGGGGAGCAAACAGGAUUAGAUACCCUGGUAGUCCACGCCGUAAACGAUGUGCACUAGGUCGUGGCAACUCUGACGUUUGUCACGGCCGAAGGAAAACUAUUAAGUGCACCGCCUGGGGAGUACGGUCGCAAGGCUAAAACUCAAAGGAAUUGACGGGGGCUCACACAAGCGGUGGAGCAUGUUGCUUAAUUCGAGGCAACGCGAAGAACCUUACCUAGGCUUGAAUGUAUGGAUUAGCUUUGGAAACUUCAGUAAACGCCCUUGGGUGGAACAAACACAGGUGCUGCAUGGCCGUCGUCAGCUCGUGCUGUGAAGUGUCGGGUUAAGUCCCUUAACGAGCGCAACCCCUGUCGUUAGUUGCUAACAAGUAAUGUUGAGUACUCUAGCGAGACUGCCGGUGUCAAACCGGAGGAAGGUGGGGAUGACGUCAGGUCCUCAUGGCCCUUAUGCCUAGGGCUGCAAACGUGCUACAAUGGCAUGGACAGAGCGAGGCGAUCCCGCGAGGGGGAGCAAAUCGCAAAAACCAUGCCCCAGUUCGGGAUAGCAGCUGCAAUUCGCCUGCUUGAAGUUGGAAUCGCUAGUAAUCGCGGAUCAGCUACGCCGCGGUGAAUGUGUUCCUGAGCCUU